rnacentral:lncRNA from 1 species
GGGGGGGGGGGGGGGGGGGGGGGGGGGGGGGGGGGGGGGGGGGGGGGGGGGUCAUUGGUCACGUGGUUCAGCAGCCUUUUUUUUUUAACAAACAAAAAAACCUAAAUUCUUCUCCGAAACAGAUCGAGGCGAAUCUUUACAUGUAUGAUCGCCUAUCCAUGAGGAACAAAAAGUUAUCCACCGAUGAUAGGUUACAUGGUUCGGCAGCUAUGAAUUUUUGAACAAUGAACCUUUUUACAUAAACCUCCUCCAGAAUGGCUUGACAGAUCGAAGGGAAACUUCACCCACAUGUUCCCCAAGCUUGGGGAUACCAGAGUGUUCACAAAUAAUUAAUAAGUCACAUGAUCUGGCAGCCAUAUUGGAAUGAAGCAAAACCUUGAAAAAAAUUAUUUCUCUUGAACCACUUCAUCAAACGACGUGAAACUACACUAUUAUGAUCCAGUAGUCGUGGGGAAGAUACAUGUUUUAAAUUUCACCCUGAUUGGACACAUGGUCUGGCAGCAACAUAUAUUUAAUGUUUUGAAUCUCAUUUCAGGGAUUUAAAUCAAACUUGGUACAAGUAUGUACAACUAGCAAACUUGGUACAAGUAUGUACAACUUCACUUUGAUGAAGGGAAUGUUAAAGGGGGGAGAGAAAGGGGGAGGGAGGGAUAGUGGACGGAGGUGAGGAGACAAGGACGGAGGACGGAGGUGAGGGCACGAGGACGGAGGACGGAGGUGAGGGCACGAGGACGGAGGACGGAGGUGAAGGCACGAAGACAGAGGUGAGGGCACGAGAAUGGAGGACGGAGGUGAGGGCACGAGGACGGAGGUGAGGACACGAGGAUGGAGGACGGAGGUGAGGGCACGAGGACGGAGGUGAGGACACGAGGACGGAGGACGGAGGACGGAGGACGGAGGACGGAGGACGGAGGACGGAGGACGGAGGACGGAGGACGGGGGACGAGGGGACAGAGGAUGGAGGGACGAGAAGACGAGGGUACGAGGGUACGAGGACGAGGGGACGAGGAGGGAGGACAGGGGACGGAGGACGGGGGACGGAGGACAGAGGACGGAGGGGAGGGAACGAGGAUGGAGGAGAGGGAACGAGGACGGAGGGGAGGAGAGGGCAUAAGGACGGAGGAGGGAGGGGAGGGCAUGGAACGCGGACGGAGGGGAGGGCAGGAGGACGGAGGACGGAGGAGAGGGCAUAAGGACGGAGGAGGGAG